CAGCCGCCGCGGUAAUACGAAGGGGGCUAGCGUUGUUCGGAAUUACUGGGCGUAAAGGGCGCGUAGGCGGCCAUUCAAGUUAGAUGUGAAAGCCCUGGGCUCAACCUAGGAAUUGCAUUUGAUACUGUUUGGCUUGAGUUCGGGAGAGGUGAGUGGAAUUCCCAGUGUAGAGGUGAAAUUCGUAGAUAUUCGGAAGAACACCAGUGGCGAAGGCGGCUCACUGGCUCAUUCUAGACGCUGAGGUGCGAAAGCGUGGGGAGCAAACAGGAUUAGAUACCCCUGUAGUCCCUGUCUCUUAUAC
rnacentral:rRNA from 1 species